AGAGUUUGAUCCUGGCUCAGGACGAACGCUGGCGGCGUGCCUAACACAUGCAAGUCGAGCGGGGGGAGUUCUUCGGAACGAACCUAGCGGCGGACGGGUGAGUAACACGUGGGUAACCCGCCUCAAAGUGGGGGAUAGCCUUCCGAAAGGGAGAUUAAUACCGCAUAACCCAUGGUUUCCGCAUGGAAGCCAUGGUAAAGAUUUAUCGCUUUGAGAUGGACCCGCGGCGCAUUAGCUAGUUGGUGAGGUAACGGCUCACCAAGGCCACGAUGCGUAGCCGACCUGAGAGGGUGAUCGGCCACAUUGGAACUGAGACACGGUCCAGACUCCUACGGGAGGCAGCAGUGGGGAAUAUUGCACAAUGGGCGAAAGCCUGAUGCAGCAACGCCGCGUGAGUGAUGAAGGUCUUCGGAUUGUAAAGCUCUGUCUUUUGGGACGAUAAUGACGGUACCAAAGGAGGAAGCCACGGCUAACUACGUGCCAGCAGCCGCGGUAAU
rnacentral:rRNA from 1 species